CCCCUAGAUGUUCUGGGCCGCACGCGCGCUACACUGAACAGUUCAACAAGUCUUAACCUUGGCCGAUAGGUCUGGGUAAUCUUUGAACGCUGUUCGUGAUUGGGAUAGACCUUUGCAAUUAUGGGUCUUCAACGAGGAAUUCCUAGUAAACGCAAGUCAUCAGCUUGCAUUGAUUACGUCCCUGCCCUUUGUACACACCGCCCGUCGCACCUACCGAUUGAAUGGUCCGGUGAAAUCUCGGGACGGCGGCUUGGUCGCUUGCGUCCGACUGCUGAGACUUGAUUAAACCAUAUCAUUUAGAGGAAGGUGAAGUCGUAACA
rnacentral:rRNA from 1 species